GAUGAAGAACGUAGCGAAAUGCGAUUAGUAAUGUGAAUUGCAGAAUUCAGUGAAUCAUCGAAUCUUUGAACGCACAUUGCGCCCCCUGGUAUUCCGGGGGGCAUGCCUGUCCGAGCGUCAUUACAACCCUCAAGCUCAGCUUGGUGUUGGGCCCCGCCGCCCCGGCGGGCCCUAAAGUCAGUGGCGGUGCCGUCCGGCUCCGAGCGUAGUAAUUCUUCUCGCUCUGGAGGUCCGGUCGUGUGCUCGCCAGCAACCCCCAAUUUUUUUCAGGUUGACCUCGGAUCAGGUAGGGAUACCCGCUGAACUUAAGCAUAUCAAUAAGCGGAGGA
rnacentral:misc_RNA from 1 species